rnacentral:rRNA from 1 species
AUGGAUCCGAGCCGGCCACUCCUGGGGCGCGGCGCCUUCCUCUCCUCCUCGGCGCACGCCGCCGCCGCCAUCAUCCUCAUCGCCUUCCUCCUCCUCACCCUGCUCCGCCUCCCGCUCUCCCCCUCCAUCUCCAUCUACACCCCUCCCCCCAUCGCCUCCACGCCCCACCACCACCUGCAGCACCAGGACCAUGAAGACCAGGAGCAGGAGGAUGCCUCAUCCUGCGACCUCUCCUCCCCGCUGGACUGCGCCGACCCACGCCUCUUCCACCUCAUGAUGCGCAGCGCCAUCGACGCCUUCCCCGCCGUCCAUUUCGCCCGCUUCGGCCGCCCCGUUCCCGGCGACCCGCCAUCCGCUUCCUGCGACAUGGCAUGGCGCGCCCGCACCAACUCCUCCGCCUCCGCCUCCCCCACCGCCACCACCAAGGACUACCGCCGCUUCGCCAUCGCGCGGGACCCCCACACCUGCGCCUACUCCGUCACCUCCAUCGGCAAUUACCACUCCGGCCCCAACGCCCGCAAGCCUCGGCCCGGCGCCUCCAACGCCACCGCCGCCCCGCCCCCGCCGCCGCUCUCCCGCUCCCAGUUCGCCGCCGCCACCUACCUCUCCUACCACGGCGGAGGCGACCGCUGCAAGCUCAUGCCACACUACAUGCGCAGCCUCCUCUGCGCCCUCGCCGAGGCGCGCUACCUCAACCGCACCCUCGUCCUCGACCUCAGCCUCUGCCUGGCGGCCUCCUACACAGCCGCCGGCAUGCCCGAGGAGGGCAAGCGCCUCGCCUUCUACUUCGACAUCGACCACCUCCGGUCGUCCGUGGUGGACAUCAUCGAGGAAAGACAGUUCUGGGAAGAUUGGGACAGGUGGGGAGCGCAGGGCCAGCUCGGGCUCCGGCUCAUUGAGGACACUAGGGUUGCUCCCACCAAGUUCUCGAAGGCUAAGGACACCCUGAUUGUCAGGAAAUUUGGGGACGUCGAGCCAGGGAAUUACUGGUACCAUGUGUGUGAGGGUGAGGCGGAGCGUGUGCUCCCUCCGCCUCACCAUGCCAUACGUUUGGCACCAAGUUUGAUGAGCAUUGUUGAUGAUAUCAUCUCAAGUAUGCAACAAGACUUUGAUUCCGUCCAUGUUGGUGGCAGUGUUGGGGACCUCAUCGAGCGAAUCGGGGAUGGUGUUGAUGUAGGAAGGCAAGUGUACAUUGCUGGAGAGGGGAUCAACACGGUCUCCAUGGAGGUGCUUAAGGCAAAGUACAACAACUUGCGUUACCUGGAUGAGUUUCAGAGGCUCUGGAGAAAAGAAAGCAAGUGGUUCUUGGAGAUGAAGAGGCUCAAUGGUGGAGUUCCUGUGAAGUUUGAUGGGUACAUGCGUGAGCUGGUUGACAGGGAGGUCUUCCUCAAGGGCAAGAAGAAGGUCGAGGUGCUCCAGUGA